rnacentral:lncRNA from 10 species
GCUAGAUGGGGCCUUCAGUAGGGUGGCGGGACGUCAGUUUAGCCUCAGGAUUCGACUCCGAGCCUCUUGCGAGACCACGUCUUGGGCAGCAUCGUAGACCCGGCUGUGAGCACAGAGUGGCUCUUCCAGAAAGUUUGUUGAAUGACUGACUGACCUAAGUCAGUCCCUGUGCCAGGCAGCCCAGAGGGACCAGCCCAGAGCCUCCUUCUCGGGGUGCAAGCCUGGCUUGGGAUUGGGGGGUGUCUGCACUCGUGGAGCCCCCCAUGCCUGCCGGGAGCCUGAAGACGCAGAGACCUCCUGCCUCGCCUCGCCCCCUCCGUGGGGACCCUCUUCCCCACACUCCUUGGUUCCUGUCGGAGCCAAGAUGUGUCACCAUGGAAACCGCUUGGCAAACGCUGGCAGGCAGAGGCGGCCAACAGCAGCUCUCCCGAUCGAGCUCCGGGCACCGGCUGGAGCAACGUCGCGGGACGGCGUGAGCGAGCACACCCAGCCGUGUGUGACACGCGUGGGGACAGAGGCCGGGGCGGCUGCGGGAGGGCGUGCGGGGAGGUCAGGGCGCCCCGGCGUGUAUGCGCCCACGUGCGCGCCUGUGCGUGUGCCAACAGUGCAGCCACAUCGGAGCGCGUGUGCUCCGAGUGUGAUGGCCGCGUGGGCCGGUGCAGGGUGUGUGUGGGGAUGGGGGUGUCUGAUUGGUGCUGUGACCUGCGGCAGCACAGCCGCCUGCGUUGAGUGCCCACGGUGGGCUGGACAUUGCACUAGGUGCUGACAGGACCGGCAGAGGUGGCCACUGCCCUCGUCCCCAGCCUGCACUCCUGGGCGAAGGCUGACGCUGAACAGCUAUGUCUUUGCAAAGAGAAAAACAACAAGAAACACAGCCCACGGGACAGGU